rnacentral:rRNA from 1 species
GGCUCAGGAUGAACGCUAGCGGCAGGCUAACACAUGCAAGUCGAGGGGCAUCGCGGUGUAGCAAUACACUGGCGGCGACCGGCGAAAGGGUGAGUAACGCGUGAGCAACAUACCCGGCACUGGGGGAUAGUCAUUGGAAACGAUGCGUAAUACCCCGUAAUACAUGGAGCGGCAUCGCUUCAUGUUAAGAGAUUUAUCGAUGUCGGAUUGGCUCGCGUACCAUUAGCUAGUUGGCGGGGUAACGGCCCACCAAGGCGACGAUGGUUAGGGGUUCUGAGAGGAAGGUCCCCCACAUUGGAACUGAGACACGGUCCAGACUCCUACGGGAGGCAGCAGUGAGGAAUAUUGGUCAAUGGCCGAGAGGCUGAACCAGCCAUGCCGCGUGCGGGAAAGACGGCCCUAUGGGUUGUAAACCGCUUUUGUCGGGGAGCAAUAAGUCUUACGAGUAAGAUGAUGAGAGUACCUGGCGAAUAAGCAUCGGCUAACUCCGUGCCAGCCGCAGC